AACUUAUGACUUGGGAGCACCCGGACCACUUCCUCGUGUUGUGUGCUCUGGUGUGCACCGGUCAUUAUUCUGAAAAGCAUUUCUGCUCUUGAUUGGGUAGUUGUGUAAUUCAGAUCAUUUACUGUGAGUAAAUCAGGGUGUUCAAAGCAGGCUUUAUGCUUGUAUGGUUCAGCAUGGAAUAAUAAGAUAAGACUUCGGUUUUAUAUUGUUGGCUGUAAAACCAAAGUAAUGAUUGAAAGGGAUAGUUGGGGGUGCUAGUAUUUAAUGGUCAGCGGUGAAAUGCGUGGACCCAUUAAAGACUAACUUAUGCGAAAGCAUU
rnacentral:rRNA from 1 species